rnacentral:rRNA from 1 species
UACGUAGGUGGCAAGCGUUGUCCGGAUUUACUGGGCGUAAAGAGCGCGCAGGCGGUCGUUCAAGUCGCGUGUGAAAGCCCCCGGCUCAACUGGGGAGGGUCACGCGAUACUGAUCGACUCGAAGGCAGGAGAGGGAAGUGGAAUUCCCGGUGUAGUGGUGAAAUGCGUAGAGUAUCAGGAGGAACACCCAUGGCGAAGGCAGCAAACUGGCCGGCAUCUGACGCUGAGGCGCGAAAGCGUGGGUAGCAAACAGG